GACGAACGCUGGCGGCGUGCUUAACGCAUGCAAGUCGAACGGGUCUGCCCUGUUUUUUGCGGGGUGGGUCAGUGGCGAACGGGUGAGUAACACGUGAGUAACCUGCCCCUCACUUCUGGAUAACCGCUUGAAAGGGUGGCUAAUACGGGGUGUUCUGGCUGUGCCGCAUGGUGUGGCUGGGAAAGAUUCACUUUUGUGGUGUUUUGGUGGGGGAUGGGCUCGCGGCCUAUCAGCUUGUUGGUGGGGUGAUGGCCUGCCAAGGCUUUGACGGGUAGCCGGCCUGAGAGGGUGGGCGGUCACACUGGGACUGAGAUACGGCCCAGACUCCUGCGGGAGGCAGCAGUGGGGGGUAUUGCACAAUGGGCGGAAGCCUGAUGCAGCGACGUCGCGUGAGGGAUGGAGGCCUUCGGGUUGUGAACCUCUUUCGCCGGUGAAGAAGGUCCUGCUCUUUGUGGUGGGGUUGACGGUAGCCGGGUUAUGAAGCGCCGGCUAACUACGUG
rnacentral:rRNA from 1 species